rnacentral:rRNA from 1 species
UUCCGGUUGAUCCCGCCGGACCUGACUGCUAUCGGAUUGAUACUAAGCCAUGUGAGUCAUUGUAGCAAUACAAGGCAGACGGCUCAGUAACACGUAGUCAAUCUACCCUAUGGACGGGGAUAACCUCGGGAAACUGAGGAUAACACCCGAUAGAUCAUAAUUCCUGGAAUGGUUUAUGGUCCAAACGAUUCGUCGCCAUAGGAUGGGACUGCGGCCUAUCAGCUUGUUGGUGAGGUAAUGGCCCACCAAGGCUAUUACAGGUACGGGCUCUGAGAGGAGAAGCCCGGAGAUGGGUACUGAGACACGGACCCAGGCCCUAUGGGGCGCAGCAGGCGAGAAACCUUUGCAAUGUGCGCAAGCACGACAAGGUUAAUCCGAGUGGUUCCUGCUUAAGGAAUCUUUUGUUAGUUGUAAAACCACUAUCGAAUAAGGGGUGGGCAAGUUCUGGUGUCAGCCGCCGCGGUAAAACCAGCACCUCAAGUGGUCAGGAGGAUUAUUGGGCCUAAAGCAUCCGUAGCCUGUUCUGUAAGUUUUCGGUUAAAUCCAUUAGCUCAACUAAUGGGCCGCCGAAAAUACUGUAGAACUAGGGAGUGGGAGAGGUAGACGGUAUUCGGUAGGAAGGGGUAAAAUCCUUUGAUCUAUUGAGGACCACCUGUGGCGAAGGCGGUCUACCAGAACACGUUCGACGGUGAGGGAUGAAAGCUGGGGGAGCAAACCGGAUUAGAUACCCGGGUAGUCCCAGCUGUAAACGAUGCAGACUCGGUGAUGCCCUGGCUUGUGGCCAGUGCAGUGCCGCAGGGAAGCCGUUAAGUUUGCCGCCUGGGAAGUACGUACGCAAGUAUGAAACUUAAAGGAAUUGGCGGGGGAGCACCACAAGGGGUGAAGCCUGCGGUUCAAUUGGAUUCAACGCCGGA